rnacentral:rRNA from 1 species
AUACGUAGGGGGCGAGCGUUGUCCGGAAUGAUUGGGCGUAAAGGGCGCGUAGGCGGCCCGGUAAGUCUGGAGUGAAAGUCCUGCUUUUAAGGUGGGAAUUGCUUUGGAUACUGUCGGGCUUGAGUGCAGGAGAGGUAAGUGGAAGUCCCCGUGUAGCGGUGAAAUGCGUAGAGAUUGGGAGGAACACCAGUGGCGAAGGCGACUUACUGGACUGUAACUGACGCUGAGGCGCGAAAGUGUGGGGAGCAAACAGGAUUAGAUACCCUGGUAGUCCACGCUGUAAACGAUGAAUGCUAGGUGUAGGGGGUAUCGACCCCUUCUGUGCCGCAGUUAACACAAUAAGCAUUCCGCCUGGGGAGUACGGCCGCAAGGUUGAAACUCAAAGGAAUUGGCGGGG